UGUGACCAAGCUUCUGAGAUCCUUUGAUCCUAUGACCCUGGGCAAGUUAGAGCACCUGGGGUGUCGAGCUGACUCUGGGUUAGGAAAUCCAUCUGUGUUUAAUUAAACUUAAUCCUGAAGAAUGUUUUAAAGCAAUUAAAGAUGUGGGCAUUGGAA